CAACCAGAUCACGUUGAAACACCGUUUCCCGUACGAUCAUCUAAGUUAAGCAACGUCGAGCCGGUUCAGUACCUAGAUGGGUGGCCGCUUGAGAAUACCUGGUACUGUAA